AAUCUCCCUUAUAUUAAUUUAUUAAAAAUCUUAACAUCUCUUGUAAUAAAAUAUUGUGCCCACAUCACCAACCUUAUUGUAUCACAUAAAAUCUCUAAAACGAAGGAAGAAGACCCAAUAUGCAGCCAAAACUGACUAGCUAGACAAGGUUAUGACAUGAGCAUGAGCAAUGCUAUUGUUUAAUUUGAUCAUAUCGACACGAUACUACUGUCCAAAUCCAGUGAUUUUUGGUGGAAAUCGGCUUAAGGCAAUAUCGACAUUCUAGAUGCUUUCACAUGAUUGUGCAUGACGAGGGAUUAUCUUCACAGACAUAUUCACAUCUGCACACAUAGUAACCGCUUCUUUGGCAACCACAGCCGCCGCCGCCGCCGCCACCCCAAUUAUCAUACACUGGCCUUCCAUAAGCUUCAUAACUCGGGGGUGCUGGCCUACCAUAGUCAUGAUAACAUGGGCCUCCACUAAUCCCAUGGUAGCAUUCAGCACAACAUGUCCUUGGGGGGACUGGUUCCGGAGCUUUAGGUGGUGGUGGUGCCGGGUUUGGAGCUGGGUUUGGGGCCGGUUCUUUGGGUUUUGGUGUUUCAACAAUAAGCGCUUUAGGCUUCUCCGGUUCUUUGGGUUUCUCCGGUUCUUUGGGCUUCUCCGGUUCUUUGGGUUUCUCCGGUUCUUUGGGCUUCUCCGGUUCUUUGGGUUUCUCCGGUUCUUUGGGCUUCUCUGGUUCUUUGGGUUUCUCCGGUUCUUUGGGCUUCUCUGGUUGCUUAGGCUUCUCAGGUUCUUUCGGCUUCUCCGGUUCUUUGGGUUUCUCUGGUGCUGCUUUGGGAUUCUCUGGUGCUUUGGGUUUCUCUGGAACCUUGAUCUCAAUGCUCUUGACAGCUUCACCUCCUUUACAGACUAUCUUUUCCUUGAUCUUUUCAGGACUGCAACAUACCACAGUGAUGGUCACUGUGCCUGCCUUCUUGUCAUAUAUCUGGUUCUGAAUUUCUCUUGUUCACAAUCCACAAAAAUUAACCACUUAGCCACUUUCAUUUCAUCUUGAAACAGCUCAAACUAAGUUAUAAUACAUGGAGAAGCUAGGAGGCACUCACGAGGGAUUCUACACAGUACUUUCUUGAUUUUCUUGUGGCAUUUCUCGCAUUCAAGGUCAACCUUCAUCACCAUUAUUGUGACUUUCUGCAAUAGGAGCACAUAAAAACAAGGACAAAAUUUCUAAGCCAGGAAGAAUAUUGAAAGGACUGGAACACUUUCUGACAUGGAAGGAUAUUGAUCAGUAAAGAUAAUGAAAAAGAAGAUGAGGUCCGUAGGGCCAAAAACAAGGACCACCGCAUAAAAAGAAUAAAAACCCAGACGAAUGGGCUAAAUAAAAGAUAAAUCGAAACCAAGAAAAGAAGAAGAAGGAAAUAUAUCAAAAUCUCCACAUCCAUCCAUGCACAUACCUUUUCAGCCAUGGUUUUGUCCAAGCCUUGAUCUGAGCCUGAUGAGAUGAUAGAAUUGAGAGCAGAGUGAAGGAACGGACCAGAGGGUCAGAGGGAGAUUGAGAUACGAAAAGGAGGCUUAUAAAAUGAAGAUUGAUCACAACUUAAGUAGUAGAAGUGUGGGGACAUAGUUUAAAUACCGCGCAUCUAGUAGGCAAUAAGAAGAGAACACGUGGCAUUGGGUGUUGAGCUUGACGUAAUAUUGUCGUUUCAUUUUUAAUUGCUGACCCUCCGAUCAUGCACAUGCAUGUGCUGGCUUUGAUGGACACAUCUCACCUUCAAUUUUGUUAAUCAUUUCGAAGGUUGUAGUGCAUCCUACGGCGCAUUAGUUUAGUCAUGUCAAUAAAUGAGCCAUGCAACCCCCAUGACAACCGUACACGUGUCCCCAAAAAACUCCCCUCAUAAAAUUAAAAAUCUUCAAUUAAUAUUUCCAUAUCUCAUGUGUAAAAGAAUUUAGAAAACAUGAAUUAUUGUAUUUAUUAUUUUACCAUGAAUAUGAGAAAUGAGAAAUUAGAAACCCAAGUCGUAAAGCAAGUAGCUCAUCGUUUUAUCUUAUCCCUAUGUGUGGAUAUAAAGAAGAAAGUUAACAAAUUGUGGGCCCAGAAGUUGCGUCCAUGAGUGCCAACUUUGAAAGCUGAGGCAGGUUUAACUAACCGUUUGAAAUUGCGUUCAACUGCUUUUUAAAAAAAAACAUUUAUUUUUAAAUUUUUAUUUUAUAUAUCUUUAGAUUAUUUUACGAUGGCAUGAAGAAUAAAUUCAAAAAAAAAUUCAAAAAACAAUCCCAGCAAAAUCAUUAUUGCUUUCCAGAAUUGUUGAGAGGAAUCACAUGAAUCUAAUUUGAAGUUUGGGCCUCUACUCUGCAGGUCAUGAAAGUAGAGAAUCCAAGGAAAGCCAUGUGCCAGUCCAUUAUCUAUGUUUUCUGAAUGACAAACUGGGUUUCAUUAACACUGAGCUUAGCCCAUGUUUCACAGGGCAUAUUAAUCAGCCCAUCACUUCCAUGGCUAUACCAGGACUGGCUAAGAAGCCCGGAGGCUAAAACAGGCCUGCAAGCAACACAUAUUGCUUUGCUCCGGGUCAAAUAUUAUUCUUUCUAGUAGAAAGAAUGAAUAAAUAUGUUUUUUUUAUUAUGUUUUUUAAUUUAAAAAAUUCUUAUUUUAAACAAAAAAAAACUUUAUAUAUUCAUCCAAUUAAAUAAAUUGAAAAUUUGAUUGUAUAACCAUAGUUGAUGUAGAAUCUGGCUCGAACCAAGUUUUAUAUUAUUGGAGUGACUGUUCGCUCGAUUAACCUAGAUGAUGAGACUCAACUUGAUAAAUUACUUGGAUUUUUUAAAUGUGUAUUAAAAAUAACAUUUUUAGACUUUUUUUUAACCAAAACAAUAUCAUUUUAUGAUAUAUCUGGAUUGAUAUAUGAUAAACUUUCUAACCCAUUAAACAUUUAUUUACAACGUGAGAGAAUAGGAAUCCCAUAUAUUGACCCGAAGGAGAUGCUGAUUGAUAACGUUUACAAACAAAAGCCAUCGACCAGUUACUGUCAGAAAUUAAAGAAAGCAAAUAGAAAGUGAAUGGAAAGGAGAUGACCAUCACUAUAUAUAUACAAAUAGCAGUGAUUAUGGAAGCUUUAAAAUCCCUUAUAUUAAUUUAUUAAAAAUCUUAACAACUCUUGUAAUAAAAUAUUGUUCCCACAUGAUCACCAACCUUAUUGUAUCACAUAAAAUCUUUAUAACGAAGGAAGAAGACCCAAUAUGCAGCCAAAACUGACUAGCUAGACAAGGUUAUGACAUGAGCAUGGGUAAUGCUAUUGUUUAAUUUGAUCAUAUCGACACGAUACUACUGUCCAAAUCCAGUGAUUUUAGGUGGAGAUCGGCUUAAAGCAUCGACAUUCUUGAUGCUUUCACAUGAUUGUGCAUGACGAGGGAUUAUCUUCACAAACAUAUUCACAUCGGCACGCAUAGUAACCGCUUCUUUGGCAACCACAGCCGCCGCUGCCACCCCAACUAUCAUGCACUGGCCUUCCAUAAAUUUCAUA
rnacentral:lncRNA from 1 species